rnacentral:tRNA from 1 species
AUUCUAUUAGUAUAAAUAGUACAAAUAAUUUCCAAUUAUAAAGUUUUUUAAAAAUAGAAUA